rfam:Hordeum vulgare subsp. vulgare, WGS project CAJW01000000 data, contig: morex_contig_135595
AAAUUAUUCGUCCGAAAAUAUUUGUCGGAGGAAUAGAUAAAAAUGAAUGUAUCUAAAGAUAAAAUACAUCUAGAUACGUUCACUUUUUAUCCAUUCCUUCGACAAGUAUUUACGGACAGAGAAAGUAUUAU